rnacentral:rRNA from 1 species
CGAAUGGGGCAAGCGUUGUUCGGAAUCACUGGGCUUAAAGCGUACGCAGGCGGCCAUGCAAGUCAGAAGUGAAAUCCCUGGGCUUAACCCAGGAAUUGCUUUUGAAACUACGUGGCUAGAAUCCGGGAGAGGUUGGCGGAAUUCCGAGUGUAGCAGUGAAAUGCGCAGAUAUUCGGAGGAACACCAGUGGCGAAGGCGGCUAACUGGACCGGCAUUGACGCUCAUGUACGAAAGCGUGGGUAGCAAACAGGAUUAGAUACCCUGGUAGUCCACGCUGUAAACGAUGUGUGCUAGUUGUUGGAACCGUCAGGUUUCGGCGACGCAGGGAAACCUUUAAGCACACCGCCUGGGGAGUACGGUCGCAAGAUUA